GAUCAUGGCUCAGGAUGAACGCUAGCGACAGGCUUAACACAUGCAAGUCGAGGGGCAGCAUGGUAGGUAGCAAUACUUAUUGAUGGCGACCGGCGCACGGGUGAGUAACGCGUAUGCAACUUACCUAUCAGAGGGGGAUAGCCCGGCGAAAGUCGGAUUAAUACUCCAUAAAACAGGGGUCCCGCAUGGGACUAUUUGUUAAAGAUUCAUCGCUGAUAGAUAGGCAUGCGUU
rnacentral:rRNA from 1 species